UAGGAAACCAUCUGUGUCCCGAGUGUGAGUUUUUGUUUCACAUUCGAUCGUGAGCGCGUUUGGCGUUUACUAAGAUUUUGUAUGGGAUUUGUACAGCGCCACCUAGCGAUGCUCACGGGAGUGAGCCCAGCUCCCAUACAAAAUCUUAGUAAACGCCAAACGCGCUCACGAUCGAAUGUCAAA